UUAUAUUGUAUUGUAUAAAUAUUGAUUGUUUUUGUUAAUUAUUAACUUAUUGUUAUGUUAUGACAUCUGCAGUUAUCUAGGGAAGUGGUUAUAUUGUGUCUCUGGUAAUUAAAUUUUACAAAAAGAGUUUACUGAAUAUUUCUUUCUUAAGACUAGGUUGACUAUGAGAGACUACUGAAUUUGAAUUCUGUAUUUUAUAUUUCUGGUAUUCAUCGUGGAUAAAGAUUAAUUUUCCUGGUAAUUAUGGUGUUUAAUUUAAAACGUUGAAUUGAAACAAUAUUCACGAAAUUUCAUUAAACUGACUGGUCUUGACCAAUGAUGGAUAUGAAAAGAGUUGUAAUUUGCCAAAAGAUAGAUUCAGACGAUCUCUUUGUAUCAAGAUAAUUAGUGGAUUAUUGAUGGGCUAAUGAUGAUUAUGAUGGCUCAUGAUGUUGAUGGCGAUGAUAAUAAAAGAGUAACUUCAAUCACUUACGGUUGUAUUAGCAAAUACAAAAAAAUCUCAAGGGAUUAAGCAACCUCGGAUUGAGUUGGUGGUGAUGAUGAUGAUGAAUUGGUGGAAGACAAGGAGAAGAAAAUUUGGAACCAUGAAAAGAAAUAAAAGUGAUGAAGCAGAAGAGGAAUCGACAAAAGGAAAUUAAUGAUGCUUGACUUGGGAAAUGCCUUAAUAUGGUUUCACAUUCAAUGUUUAAUCAAUUGUUUGCAGCUAUCAUAAAUGGGAAAGAUGUUCACUCAUGAUGUUGAUAGUGAUGGUGAUGAUGGUAAUCAUGGCGUUUGAUUUAGAGAUCUUGAUUGACAUUAAUUAAGUUAAAGGAAAAUAAUCAACUAACCCAGAAAAUGAACCUUAAAAACCUUGAAAAGCCUUCAACCUUUACUCUCUUUGCCUGAUGUAAAUUGAUAUUUACAAGACCUGGGUUUGUUGAUGCUGCCACAUUUUAAACAAUUUUUAAUAAACCAGCCGAUUGUCAAUCAAUGCUCAAUUUGGCCCAAUAAUUUAAUUGAAUUUACAACGGCAUAAAUAAUUGAAUUUGAACACAAACAAACCAGUUAGCAGCUGAAAAUGUUGAUUAUUGCAAGUGAACUUCAAAAAUGAAAAACUGAAAAAUAUUCAAAGUCAAAACGGGCAACUCAGGAAAAGGCUGACCAACAAGAUUAACUGUCUAACCUGAUGGUACUUGGAUGACUCAAAGACUUUACCACUAGUGGGAACCCUUGGUGUGAAAGCUGCCUUAAUUGUGAUUAAUGUCUUGUCCAUAUGAUCAGUUCCCAAUAAUGUCCCAUAAUGAAGUC